ACAAGCUCCACUCUUCAUCCAGAUUGAGACCGAUGCGGUCCUCGUGGGUCGUCGGCUCUGCUGCUGCUGCUUCUGCUGCUUGCUGCCUGCUGCUGCUGCCAUGGUAGCCAUCGUACGUCAUUCGGGUCUUUCAUUCUCGUGUUCAUCGUCCUUGCUGCUGGCCACAAUAACGGCACUGGCGCUCCUGUGCUACUGCUCCGACGCAUCCAUCCUCCACUGCUUUGAACAGCACCGCGACAACCAGUUGGACUCUGCUCCCGAAUCCGGAGACGCUGUAUGACGAACCAAAACAUCCUAAAAACUACACGAAAAUAACUGAGAAUCGGCCCAAUAAAAUCGAAAACUGAAAAUCAAGCGACAAUCAACCUUAAAUACCAUAAAUUCACCGAGUUUCCGGCAUUAUAGGAGAGAAGCAUAGCAAAGCAAAAAGUAAAUAACUAAAAGUAAUAAAAUAUAGCAUAAGCCCCAGGAAAAGCAGAGAGAACAUAAGAAGGAAGAGGCGAGGCUAAAGUGUCAAGUAGGACAUCAGAAGACGUUUUUCCACUGGCUGUCAAAAUAGAAAUUGUAUAAAAUGGAUGCGCUGCGCUUACGUGGUUCGCAAUUCAAUCGUUAUGGAGGCAGCUCAGGGUCAGGCGGCAACAACCCGAACCAGCCUCCGCCACCGCAGGUGCACAGCAAGCCGGAGCCUUUGAUUGUAGUGGAGGAGUCCAACUUGCCGGAGGAACUGGAGGACAGCUCAGAGACAACCUUUUCGAAUCGCGCCAGUCUGGACAUUGACUCGCCCGUAAACCCCUAUUUGCUCUCCCCUUGGCGGGAUCCGCGCGAGGCCCGUAAGCACUCGCUGCCCUCACAGCAGGUGACCGAUGGAAUCACCGCCAGUCAGGUGAGGCGUCUGUCCGAGCGCGGCGGCGAAGGAUCCGGUCCAUCGCCCAAGGAGGCCGCCUUCCUCGCCACCCUCUCACAAGCGCCGGCCCCAUCUGGACGUCGCCACUCAGUGGUCACCAUCUCCAAGGUGCCCACCACUCUCUUUGGACGUUCGCGCCGUGAAUCGGUGGCCGCCUAUCCGAGCAGCAAUGGCAGCAGCCGUGUGCUCAACUCACGGCGGGAGAGCAACACGGGUCCUCCCUCUACAGACCCCAUCGGCAGCAUCCAUAACUUGCAGCUGGACAUUAUGGACGACAUAUAUUUGCAGUCACGAAAGGCCCGUUUAAAGCUAUGGACCUCCAGCAAUGAGAAGGUCUGUGAGGUACAGACCGUUGACGAGGCCGGGACCGCGGCCCCGGGUAGGCGCUACACCAACCGCCGCUUUUCGGAGUGCCCCCAGCCGCAGCCGGCCAGCAGCUUUCGCCGGGCCUCUGAAUAUCCGCAUCCACCGCCGCAGCCGCAUCCGCAGGCACAAACACACGGACAUGGGCACGCGCCUUCAUCGCAGAAGAGCAUCUCGCCCCAGCCGCCGUUGUCGGCCAGGGCCUCGACACGCCGCAAGAAGUCGGGCAGUGGCGUAGGCCUGCUUGGAAGCCGCACGGACAUCGCUGGGAUCUUCAGCUCUUUGACCAGCUCUGCCAUGGACAUGCACCGCUCAGAGCCGGAGGGGAGCUCCAGUGCCAGUGCCAGCUCUUCAGCGGCCACCGCUGGAAGCAGCCCGUUUCUCAGCCAGACGUUCCAAAACGCCGCCCGGGGCCGCGCUACUAGUGCCACGCCUACGCCCACGGCCCACACUGGGGGGCAGGCGGCCGCAGCAAGCAGCAGCUCACUGCUAGACCCAAAUGCAGGCCGCUCCACACGAUCCAACAGCUUCGACGUCUCGAUCCUGAACAACGCCAAGCAGUUGGUGAGCGAGGCGCAGGACAACAGCUCUGCCGCCAUAUCCGGGUGGUUCGGCAAGCCGGCAAGUCGCCCACAGCCGUUGGCGCGAAAGAAAAGUGUGCGCAGCAAGAGCACGGCCAUGGCCCUCUCAAAGGACAUGUUGGAGCGAUUGCAGAAGAAGGACCCGCUCGGCGGAGACUCCGGAAAACCGAAGCUCAAGCCGCGCAGCAAGCAGAAGAGCUGGGCCGACACCACCAAGGCGAACAUCGUGGAUGCGACCAUGCUGGGCACGGCGAUCGAGGGUUUCUUACGCAAGAGCUCCAAUGCCGGGAUGGCCGGAGCCGGAGGUUCUAGCGGUCCGUCCACAUCGGCGGCGGUCCGCGGGGCUGUUCCCAAGGAGUCAAACAGCGCCACCGGCAGUCCGGCCGGAGCCCGUCGCAGCCGGGCGUCCGCGGGCAGUGGCGCCCAGUCUCAGGCCGGGCGGGCAAUGCGCUCCACUCUCAACUGGUUCAGCAAGGGCGAGGAGGAUGACUCGAAGGAUACGUGCGAUGCGUCGUUGUGUUCGACACUCAAGGACCUAUUCGUGAAAUAGGUCGGGGGACGCAGAGGCAAGUAAAGCUCUGGGACUGACCCACCAACAGAUCCUGGCCGUUCAGCAAAGGCGAGCUACUUGUAUCUCUGAGAUCCGGAAAUAUUCGUAUCAUUUGUUAACCAUCGGAAGAAGCCGACAGGUAAAGCGAACUUCAACACCAGACACCAGUUAGGCAGCGAACAAAAAGAGUACCCGCACACUUCAUUGUCACCGUCAAUCUAAAUGUUUUGGCAGAGAGCCGUAAUACUAUUUUGAACAUCAUUUGCAGCCAAUGGAACACUCUUUCGAAGAGUAAAUAAUAAUUGAAACACUAUAUUGAACAGUUUAUUAGAUGCAAUACUAGUUGGAACAGUUUAUAAUCAAGAUUACGAUUUACGGCAGCUGAAGCAGCCAUAUUGGCACUGCAGAGUUCUAAUAAUAGAUCUCUUCAGAAAAAUAUACAUGUUCAUACUAGUUACUAGUAUAAGUGCAUAAGCAUAUCACUCACAUACCAACCAACACGAGCCAUUGAGACAGUGACGACCCGACCCAAUCAUUCAUCGUAAUAGACAAACAGUCACAAUAGCAUAGUUGUAUAAGCUGACAGUCAAACAUAUUUACAGAUCACUUACAGUAACUGAACGAGAACAUAGAUAUGUGAGACAAACGAAUGCCUAACAGUAAGUGCAGUAAGUGGAACAGGAAUAAUGAGUAUUGGAACAAUAACCGUGCCUCUAACACUAAUAACAACUGAUACAAACUCAGUCACACGAACAUUGACACUAACACUAAGCAAAGUAGCAAAUAAUGCAAAAACGGUAAAAGUAUAACUAACUGAAAAGCAUAGUACAAGUAAUAGUAAAUGAAGCAAUAGUAACACUAACACUAAAACUAACAAUAACAGUAACACAAGCAGUGCCCACUUAGAAUAGCACUCGCACAGGUUGCAACUGAAUUACUUACAGUCACACUAAUCAGUAACGAGUAAAGAGUAACGGGUAAGAGAGGCGAUUCAUUGUAAUAUAAGCAGGGAUAAUAACGGCAAUGACACUUCAACAAACACUUAAAGUAACAGUAACUGCAUACAGCACAGUACAGUACAGUACCCACCCACACAUCAAUCCAGUAACAGUUCUACUCGAACCCAUUAACAUUAGUCCUAGCGGUAACAGAGUAUAAUGGUGAACAAUAAGAGUACAAGUAACUUUAACGGUACAAGUAACUUUAACGAUAUCGGUAUUGGUAGGAUUUACGAGAAGCGAGAGUAUAGCGAUAGCCGGCAAUUAGUGAUCGAUAGACAGUUAGGAAAUCGGUCACAAGCAGCUAAUAAGCAACGCUGCAGGGGAGUUUUGUGAGUACCACAAAAAAUCAGGGAGCAGGAUGAAGGACUCAUAAGCACUACGAAAAGUAGUAAUAAAAUAAGGAAAUAGGGAUAGCGAUAGCGAUAGGAACAGGGAAGGAGCGCAAUCGAAUGCGACCCACGACAGACCUCAUCGGACAACCGACAAGACAAGCAUAACUGUAGUACAACCCUCAUAAAGAUAAAGACGAAAAAAAAACAGAUAAUAUAUAUAUUUAUUCUCACAUAUUUGCAUACAAUUUGUAACCGAAAUCGAAUCGAAAUUGAAGUUUGAGACACUAGAAUCGGCAGGAAAAUUUUGUCAUGGACCCAAGUCCAGAGCUAGAGAAAGGUAAAGAUGAAGAGGAGGUGACAGAGUAACAGAGAAUGUCAAAAUAUUUUUUUACGAGAAGGGAAUUUAAGCGGGAUCCACCGAUCCAAAGGAGGACAGAAGCGGCAGUCGUUGAGACGAAACAUGAGGAGUCGUCUUUUUUUGUACCGAUGCAUUAGUAUUCGGGAAUUAUGCCCUUUUAUUUGUAGUAUCCCCAUUUUGAGGUCCAGGUUGCAACCGAGAAAUUUAUUGUGCCACACAUUUGUGGGUCGUAAUCGGCUGUUAUCGAGACAAGCAUCACACUCAAUCAAGGGAACCAGAGACAAAACUAUAAAAACUCAUCUGAUUGGCAGGCAAUCCAACAGUACCCUCAAUAACACAACAAUAACACAAAUAUCUACACAUGCCCACACAUAUUCAGAAUAUACUCAAGCAUAUUAUAUGUAUAUCCGCAGCGAAUAAGGAAUAAGUGUCUACAGACUCAAAAGUUUUAAUCAAUGUAAACCACACAAUAAAUGUAAUUUGUAUGUACAAUCUGAGCUUACACAAAGGCAAAUAACAUCCAAUACCCAACUAAAUCCAAUCGAAUCGAAACGAAAAUCGAAGUUAAAUGUUAAUGUUCGGGUUGAAUAUUUAAUGUAACAUUAUACAAAUUUACUAUAUCAAAGCAAAGUUAAAGCUAACACCAAAUCAGAAGCAGCAGAUAAAAAAUAUGCAGAAUAAGAGGAAGUAGGAGAGGCAAAACAUCUUCACCAGAAGAAGUUGGAAAUAUUAAUUAACGAAGAAACUCAAAUUGAAAAUUUGCAAUUGUACCCAUUGCCAAACAGAGUUUGGGGAUGGAAUGGUAAGGACGGACAGACGAAUGAACAAACAAACAAUCAGUCAAUAUUGCAAUCAAUCAAGUGUGUUUCUAUAUAUGGCAUUUGGCCCUGUCAAUUUGGUCAAUGGCAUCCCACAGGAUGAUAAAGAAAUGGUAGAGAUGAAUGUUAUAUAGAGGUUAUCUUCCACAUUGCAAGCGCUCGAAUCGGGUUGCAACUACGUACAUAUGAAUAUACACAUACCAAUAUAUACAUAUACAUACAUGUUUAAAGAUAUGCAUAUACAAAAAAUACAUAUAUUGAACAAAAUGUAUCUCGAUGUGCCCAGAAUGUAUUUUAGACUUCAAUUUCCAUGUGUGUGUCUCAAUGCGGUAACCCAAAGUUAACUUUCACUUUCAAUGUGUGUUGAGAGAACAUUAACAGAAUAUACAUACAUAUACAGAUAUAUUUACCGAUCUAUAUCUAUACAAAGCAUGAAUAUACAGAUAUCUAUACAUAUAUGUUCAUACAUAGAUAUGUAUAUAUACAUGCAUAUAUUUAUAUAUUAUACACGGACAUAUGGAAGUAUCUCAAACUAUUUACAAGUCAGUGCGAUUCUUCUUGGUCGCAGUCCAUGUUUUUUGCUCAUCUUCCUAACUGUUGUUCGCGUUGCUCUAUCCAAUCCGCAUUAUACUUGUGUUACAAUAAAUGUGUAUACUCGUAGAAACAACCAAAUUAAAAAAAAAAAAAAAAACAAUACCAAAAAUAAUAAACAAUAAAUAAAAACAAAAAGGAGGAUGGCUGAAGUUGUCUUCGGGAAAACUAAAACUAACUCUGCAGA